rnacentral:piRNA from 1 species
UGCCAAAAAAUAGAAAAGUCA